UAGGGAAUAUUGGGCAAUGGAGGGAACUCUGACCCAGCCAUGCCGCGUGCAGGAUGAAGGCGUUAUGCGUUGUAAACUGCUUUUUAUAUAGGAAGAAAUAGUCCUUGCGAGGAAAGUUGACGGUACUAUAUGAAUAAGCACCGGCUAACUCCGUGCCAGCAGCCGCGGUAAUACGGAGGGUGCAAGCGUUAAUCGGAGUGACUGGGCGUAAAGGGCAUGUAGGCGGUUAUAUUAGUCUGAUGUAAAAGACCCGGGCUUAACCUGGGAUAUGCAUUGGAAACGGUAUAGCUAGAGUAUGGGAGAGGGAAGUGGAAUUUCCGGUGUAGCGGUGAAAUGCGUAGAGAUCGGAAAGAACACUCGUGGCGAAGGCGGCUUUCUGGCCCAUAACUGACGCUGAGGUGCGAAAGCAUGGGGAGCAAACAGGAUUAGAUACCCGAGUAGUCCCUGAGCGGGCUGGCAAGGCGCAU
rnacentral:rRNA from 1 species